UGAUGGCCACUGUCUUUCAUUUUGACCAA
rnacentral:piRNA from 1 species